CCUACGGGAUGCAGCAGUAGGGAAUCUUUCACAAUGGGCGAAAGCCUGAUGGAGCAACGCCGCGUGCAGGAUGAAGGCCUUCGGGUUGUAAACUGCUUUUAUAAGCGAGAAAUAUGAUGGUAACUUAUGAAUAAGGAUCGGCUAACUACGUGCCAGCAGCCGCGGUCAUACGUAGGAUCCGAGCAUUAUCCGGAGUGACUGGGUGUAAAGAGUUGCGUAGGUGGCAUAAGAAGUAGCUAGUGAAAUCUGGUGGCUCAACCAUUCAGACUAUUAGCUAAACUGUUAAGCUCGAGACCGUUAGGGGUAACUAGAAUUUCUAGUGUAGGAGUGAAAUCCGUAGAUAUUAGAAGGAACACCAAUAGCGUAGGCAGGUUGCUGGGACGGUUCUGACACUAAGGCACGAAAGCGUAGGGAGCAAACGGGAUUAGAUACCCGGGUAGUC
rnacentral:rRNA from 1 species